rnacentral:lncRNA from 1 species
UUUUCUGGGUAAGAGUAGCUUGAGUUGGAUUGAUUUGAUUUUUUAUUAUGAAAAUUGGUAUUUCAAUUUCAUGUUCUGAUGGAUUUUUUAUUUUUGUGUGUACGUGUUAGUCUGACGUUUGAAUUGAGGUUAUUGUGGUUCUAUAGUCGUGAAUCAAGUGUAUGUUCGAAAACUCCUUUGUUUCAUUAUCGAAUUACUAUUUGGGUUCUGCGG